GCCGGAGUGGCGGAACUGGUAUACGCACAGGACUUAAAAUCCUGGGCCCGCAAGGGAUUGAGGGUUCGANNCGAUUCCCUCCUCGCCCACCA
rnacentral:tRNA from 1 species